rnacentral:rRNA from 1 species
UACGUAGGGUCCGAGCGUUGUCCGGAAUUACUGGGCGUAAAGCGCGCGCAGGCGGCCCGCGAGGUGUCACGUGAAAGCCCCGGGCCCAACCCGGGAGGGUCGUGGCAAACCGGCGGGCUUGAGGCCGGUAGAGGUGGGUGGAACUCCUGGUGGAGUGGUGAAAUGCGUAGAGAUCAGGAAGAACACCCGUGGCGAAGGCGGCCCACUGGGCCGGUACUGACGCUGAGGCGCGAAGGCGUGGGGAGCGAACGGG